rnacentral:rRNA from 1 species
GACGAACGCUGGCGGCGCGCCUAACACAUGCAAGUCGAACGAGCGAGCGAGAGCUUGCUUCCUCGAGCGAGUGGCGAACGGGUGAGUAACGCGUUAGGAACCCGCCCCAAAGCGGGGGACCACAGUUGGAAACGACUGCUAAUACCGCAUACGCCCACAGCUCGGCAUCGAGCAGAGUGAAAAGGAGUGAUCCGCUUUGAGAUGGCCUCGCGACCGCUUAGCUAGUUGGUGAGGUAACGGCACACCAAGGCGACGAUCGGUAGCCGGACUGAGGGGUUGAGCGGCCACAUUGGGACUGAGACGCGGCCCAGACUCCGACGGGAGGCAGGAGUGAGGAAUAUUGCACAAUGGGGGAAACCCUGAUGCAGCUACGCCGCGUGGAGGAGGAAGGUCUUCGGAUUGUAAACUCCUGUUGUUGAGGAAGAUAAUGACGGUACUCAACAAGGAAGUGACGGCUAACUACGUGCCAGCCGCCGCGGUAA